GGUAAAGUGACGUAGAUCAGUGGAUACACUUGUCUCCCCUUUAAAGGAGACAAUCCAAGUCAUCCUUAAAUAUGGGCAGCAUAUCAGUCUUGGACUGUCUAACCUGCCGGAGCAGCACUGAAUGACCACCACACAUGAGCAUGUUCCUGCAACAUUCAGCAUCUGAUCCUUCAUCUGUGUGCUUCUGCUUUUGUGUCACAUGUCAAACAGCUGGAGAGGAAACUACACCAGUGUACUGGGAUGUACACGUGCCAGAUGCUGUUCCUUCAUGGUGACAUCACAGAGACAGCCCCACCCACCUCAGGACCUCGCCAUUUAUCAUGAUGAUUAUAAUGAUGACAGCGAGCGGAACUAAGACUGUAAAAAUCCACGACCAGAAUUUUUCUUUCUAAUUAUUAAUGAAUACUGAGAGCCUCUUUCUGUGUUUUGUAUGUUUUGGGGUUGUUUUUUUUUUACCUCAUUUGUUACUAACAAAGUUCACCAAACUCACACAGUUUACAUUCUGUAUGUUUCCAUCUUUACCAGCCACACUCUAACUGCAUUUAAGAAAAUAAUCCUUAGAAAUCGUCAUUU